rnacentral:tRNA from 1 species
AGCAGGGUAGAGCAGAGGUAGCUCACCGGGUUCAUACCCCGGAGGUCGCCGGUUCGAAUCCGACCCCUGCAACCA